rnacentral:rRNA from 1 species
GUGUCAGCCGCCGCGGUAAUACGUAGGGCGCGAGCGUUGUCCGGAAUUAUUGGGCGUAAAGAGCUCGUAGGCGGCUUGUCGCGUCUGCUGUGAAAUCCCGGGGCUUAACCCCGGGCGUGCAGUGGAUACGGGCAGGCUGGAGGCAGGCAGGGGAGAACGGAAUUCCCGGUGUAGCGGUGAAAUGCGCAGAUAUCGGGAGGAACACCGGUGGCGAAGGCGGUUCUCUGGGCCUGUUCUGACGCUGAGGAGCGAAAGCGUGGGGAGCGAACAGGAUUAGAAACCCCCGUAGUCC